rnacentral:rRNA from 1 species
AGGACGAACGCUGGCGGCGUGCUUAACACAUGCAAGUCGAGCGGAAAGGCCCUUCGGGGUACUCGAGCGGCGAACGGGUGAGUAACACGUGAGCAACCUGCCCUUAGCUCUGGGAUAGCUCCGGGAAACCGGAAUUAAUACCGGAUAUGACCUAGGCCGACAUCGGCCGUGGUGGAAAGUUUUUCGGCUAGGGAUGGACUCGCGGCCUAUCAGCUAGUUGGUGGGGUAAUGGCCUACCAAGGCGACGACGGGUAGCCGGCCUGAGAGGGCGACCGGCCACACUGGGACUGAGACACGGCCCAGACUCCUACGGGAGGCAGCAGUGGGGAAUCUUGCACAAUGGGCGAAAGCCUGACGCAGCGACGCCGCGUGGGGGAUGAAGGCCUUCGGGUUGUAAACCCCUUUCAGCAGGGACGAAGCGAAAGUGACGGUACCUGCAGAAGAAGCGCCGGCUAACUACGCGCCAGCAGCCGC